ACGAAGGGUGCAAGCGUUACUCGGAAUUACUGGGCGUAAAGCGUGCGUAGGUGGUGAUUUAAGUCCAUUGUGAAAGCCCUAGGCUUAACCUGGGAACGGCAGUGGAUACUGGAUGACUAGAGUGUGGUAGAGGGUAGCGGAAUUCCUGGUGUAGCAGUGAAAUGCGUAGAGAUCAGGAGGAACAUCCGUGGCGAAGGCGGCUACCUGGACCAACACUGACACUGAGGCACGAAAGCGUGGGGAGCAAACAGG
rnacentral:rRNA from 1 species